rnacentral:rRNA from 1 species
GACGAACGCUGGCGGCGUGCCUAACACAUGCCAGUCGAACGGAACUGUUUUGAAAGAUUUCUUCGGAAUGAAUUUGAUUUAGUUUAGUGGCGGACGGGUGAGUAACGCGUGAGUAACCUGCCUUCAAGAGGGGAAUAACAUUCUGAAAAGAAUGCUAAUACCGCAUGACAUAUCGGAACCACAUGGUUUUGAUAUCAAAGAUUUUAUCGCUUGAAGAUGGACUCGCGUCCGAUUAGUUAGUUGGUGAGGUAACGGCUCACCAAGACCGCGAUCGGUAGCCGGACUGAGAGGUUGAACGGCCACAUUGGGACUGAGACACGGCCCAGACUCCUACGGGAGGCAGCAGUGGGGGAUAUUGCGCAAUGGGGGCAACCCUGACGCAGCAACGCCGCGUGAAGGAUGAAGGUUUUCGGAUUGUAAACUUCUUUUAUUAAGGACGAAAAAUGACGGUACUUAAUGAAUAAGCUCCGGCUAACUACGUG